GACGAACGCUGGCGGCGUGCUUAACACAUGCAAGUCGAACGGAAAGGCCUUGCUUUUGUGGGGUGCUCGAGUGGCGAACGGGUGAGUAACACGUGAGUAACCUGCCCUUGACUUUGGGAUAACUUCAGGAAACUGGGGCUAAUACCGGAUAGGAGCUCCUGCUGCAUGGUGGGGGUUGGAAAGUUUCGGCGGUUGGGGAUGGACUCGCGGCUUAUCAGCUUGUUGGCGGGGUAGUGGCUUACCAAGGCUUUGACGGGUAGCCGGCCUGAGAGGGUGACCGGCCACAUUAGGACUGAGAUACGGCCCAGACUCCUACGGGAGGCAGCAGUGGGGAAUAUUGCACAAUGGGCGGAAGCCUGAUGCAGCAACGCCGCGUGCGGGAUGACGGCCUUCGGGUUGUAAACCGCUUUCGCCUGUGACGAAGCGUGAGUGACGGUAAUGGGUAAAGAAGCACCGGCUAACUACGUG
rnacentral:rRNA from 1 species